rnacentral:lncRNA from 1 species
GAAGUUUUAAUAUCUGGUUCCCCUUUGCUAUUUGGGUGUUUUCUCAUAAAUUUCUUGACAACAUUUGUGCACUUUUUCUUCCAUAUUAACUUUAGAAUUAUUUUGACCAGCUGAAAACAACAACAAUAGCAACAAUGAGACUCUGAUCCAAAUUGCUUUAAAGUUAUAUACAUAUUUGGGAAUAUUAAUGAUUUUCCCUGUGCAGGAAUCACACACAUCAAAACCAUAAGGUUAAUAUGAAAGCUGCGGCUCGGAAAGGUUCUGUAACUUGCCCAAGGCCACGCAGCCGGCAGAAGACAGAAACCGCCCUUCAUAUCUCUCUGGUGCAAAUUCCACAUUAAUCACCUCCUUCAUUCAUAUCAGAGAAGGAAGGUGAUAAAUUAAAUUACUGAGAUUCUCUUGAGUAAAAUACAUGGCAGCUUAACCAUUUACAAGGCUGUCAGACACAAGCAGAGCUUGACCAAGCAUGGCACCAGUUCAUAAGUAAAUUGUUAGCUUUUAGCCCAAUAAACGCUUUCUCAUUUUUCGAAAGAUCUAGAUAGAAUUAGAAUGAGAAAUAGACUUCCACUUAAUAAGUACCUGGAAGAUCCCUGGCUCAAACACAUCUUUACUGGUGUGGAAUUCUGUUAUUAUAGCUUCAUUUUUUGGCUUAAAAACUUAUUCUUCUAAAAUGUACCCUUAUAAAGAUUACUGCACCUAUUGGUAUGAAUUGGUUUAAUUGCUACUCUUUAAACAACCAGCUAGCAAAGUCUCAAUUGAAAUAGAAGUUUGAUCGUGGGUGGUGGAGCCUGGAGAUGAGAGUGGUUUUGGAAAAUGGGACAGCACCUCAGGGUAGCCAAGGUGAAAUAGGACGCUGGAGGAGAGGAGAAGCCUGGACAGGUGGACGGACUGACGAGCAGAUAGCUUGAAAGGACCCAAGGGCUGGGAGAAUUCUACUUAUUCUGCUUGUGUAUUAUGCAUAUUUCUUUAAACUAUUGGAUCAAAGGCAUGCUUAUAAUUUCCUCAAAAGAAAUCACUGGGCAUGGCAUAAACUGACGAGUGAAUAAUUUUCAUUAUAGAGAGAAGUAAUGUCAAAUUAUUACUCCAGAAUGUAGGCUGAAAUAUCAAUCAAAUAUUCAUUAACUUAUUAAGAAGAUUGGCAUCUAUCCUGAAUUUACCAUAUGUAGCUAUAAUAGAUUUGCUUAAAACAUUUUCAAAUAAAAGGGAAGUUAUUUUUAAAUGUGAUACGAAAUGUCCAUUAUUUAAGAGUUUAAAAGACAUAUUGCGAUAUUCUGCACUAAAUACAAUAUUUUAAUACGGACUGGUGUCCCAAACAAUUAUAUGUUAUUUGCAAUAGACAUAUGCCUUCAAAAAAAAAAAAACAAACAAGCGAAAAACCCCCUUUAGGAAUGGAGUUUUGUGAAAGUGGUGCUGGAUUAGAAGUUACAGGCUGUGUCACUCUGCUGGGGACAUUGCACACAGUUGGGAGAGGAUGCAAAUGAGAUGAGGCGCAAUACAGGCUUUGAGAACUGCAAAAGCCUACAAAAUGCAAAGCUUUCUAUUACCAUACAAGGCUCAGUGUGCUCUACUGUGGUGUGCCUAAGUAAGAAUUUUAAAUGCCAGUAUCAAAAUUUAAAUUCAAUAGAAAUCUCACUAUUUGAAGGAUUUUGCAGUUUUUUGUAAAUACACCAUCCCUAAAUCAAAAUUUGUUUUUGUAAAUUUAACUUAUUUGGUUUUCUUAGAAUGAGGUUGCUUUACUGUACAAAUAUGAUAGUUUCAUUUUUGUUCAUCUGAUUGAUUGAAAACAUUCGGUCCUCAGAGGUCUCCUAAAUGCUCCAUUCGGGAGUGACUGCGUCCCAUUCAUGCCCUCCUUGUACUGGACACAGAAAGCAAAGGCAGUGCUGCCACCAACAGGAAAAUGCAAGACCCAGGAUCUCCUCUUAAACCCAAAUCCUCCAUUUUCCCCACUUAGAACUCUUGUUAAAUAAACUAAGGCAUAGGAUGGGCAACAGAAAAACAAAAUGGAAAAGAGCUCCUUAGAUGAAUGAAACUUAAAUUUAAAACUAAACAAAAUUACAUCCUAUAACAGCAAAAAAAAAAAAGAAGGCAUUGUGGAAUAACAGACUUCAAGGCAAAUGUUCUGGGUGUAAGGUGCAGUGCAGACAUCGUUAGCAGCGAUUGAUCUCCAUUAAAUAUCUAGUAAGGAGUCUCCAUGAGAAUAUUUGUCCUUGUCUACAUGACUAAAAUACAAAGAAAUAAAUGCCAAAGGAAAUACCAGCGUGCAUUUAGUAAGAAAUUUGGUUUGUGUAAUAUAAUUUCAUGACUAUGUUGUUGUCUAAGGGUAUAGAUGUGUAAUUUGCACUCCGCUCACUGUGAAGUUUUGUUUUUAUUGCAAAAAUAAAGGUUUUAUGUUAUAAAAGCAUCAUUCAAAAGGACCAGGAAAAAUGGAGUACUAACAUUUAAAAGCCUAAAGACAGCAGCAUGACCCAAAAACUUCCUGGUCUCUCCACCGUGGACAAUCAGGCCACUGGAAAGGGAGAUGAAACUGAAGGCCUCUGCCCUCUGAGAAGAUGAACAGAACUCACCAGAGCACAAAGAAAAUAAAUAUCUACUCCUGGUUGAAGUCUUUUUUCGACUAGAGUCAUGGCCUUCACAGGGAGACAAUCUAUUGACCACUUCCGGAGCUGUGCUGUGGAAAAAGAAGAGACCAGAAAAAGGAAGCCUUGGGGACAUGUUUUGCAUGAAUUAGCAAAGUCCAAUCACCUCUCCCUGCUGUUUUGCCUUUCCAGAGUCGCACAUGCACAUCGUGAGGAAAGUUAGGGGCAGGUCAACAGAGACUGCCAUUAAAAACAACAAAAAUCAAUAUUUAUGCUUUCAUGUCUUUCAGGAAGGGCGUCUACGUGGUGAAAGAAAUCAGUGGCCAGCCCAGUGUCGCAGCGGUUAAGUGCGCACGUUCCGCUUUGGUGGCCCGGGGUUCACUGGUUCGGAUCCCGGGUGUGGACAUGGCACCGCUUGGCAAGCCAUGCUGUGCCUGGUCCACUCUCAGCUGCAUGCACUGCACCCACCCCAGGUCUUUUGUUCAUAUUCAAGCAGAGGUGCCAAUGAAAACAAACCAGAGAUGUCUGCACAGAGUUCCUGCCCUAAGAAAAGCCCAGGGCAGAAAGGUGAGCAUGUCCAAUGCAAAGAGUCUCAGAGCUCCUAAUGACUCCAGCCCAGAACUGCAGCAGAAGUUGCCAGUGAGACCAUCACUGGGGUGAAGCUGAUGGGGCUCCUGCACACGUCUGUGGAAGAUACAGAGUGGAAUGUACCCCAGGGAGGACUGGGCCGGUAUGGCACAUGGAGUAACGAAGAUCAGCAUCGCUGACCAGAAUCUAUGCCCAUUAUGAGCGAGCAGGGGGAAGGCGGCCUGCAUGCUGCCCAGGGUGGGUGAGAACUGACCUGGUGGGACACAAGGCCACCUGGGCCCAGAAGAAACAGCAGAGACCUAAGUAUUUGGUCCUUUUGUCCCCAAAGAUUGAGGGGCCUCAGGGACAGUUUGGGAGAAAAAUUUAAUGCUGAGCUGGACUCACAGCUCCAUUCUUGGGCACCAUUUUGUUGCCUGUCCUGACUUAGCCAAAUGGACAUUUAACACUUGUCAAAAAUAUCCCUUCAGAACACUCACUCUGAGUUGCCUGCUAAUUCCAUGAAGUCAUUUGUGGUUCUUCCAUGAUAAUCUAUAGGGGGAAACUGUGUAAUUGCUAAAAAUAAUGAAUGUAAAUCAACACACAAUAAGUGGUUCUUUAUAAAUACCUAUUUGCGCAGGUUGUUUACCUGCUGAAACAGCUCCAUCUCAAAAGAAUAAUAUACCAUUUAAAAAUUAGGUCAAGUUGGGGCUGGCCCUGUGGCCUGGUGGUUAAGUUCAGCAUGCUCCGCUUUGGUGGCCCAGGUUCAGUUCCCAGGUGCAGACCUACACCACUCAUCGGUGGCCAUGCUGUGGCAGUGACACACAUACAAAAUAGAGGAAGAUUGGCACAGAUGUUAGCUCAGGGCUAAUCUUCCUCAGGAGGAAAAAAAAGCUGGGUUAAGGGAAAGGACAAAAUAACUCAGGGUUUGACAAACUUUCUGUAAAGGGUGAGAUAGUAAAUAUUUUCAGAUUUGCAGGCCACACGGUCUCAGUAAAUGAGACAAAAGGUUCCCAGAAGGCUUAGGUAAUUCUGUGAGUUGACUGUGAGACAAAAAUAUGCCCUCUGUCGAUUAUAAAAAAUAUCUCACAAUGUUCCAGAAAAGGUGAUUUUACUUCCCUUCGUUCACAAAAUUAUUUGUGAAUUAAAUGCUAGUGAAAACGGAGACUACAGGGCACGUCAAAGAGCCAUGGAGAAUCGUGCCUUGAUGUGGUUUGUCCACUUCCCUCAACCACUGCUCUAGCUGUUGUAGGGAGUUAUUUCUAACUUCUCUAUGAGACCCUC